GGCCUGUGUGCCCUGCUUGCUUCCUCUCGCACAGGUGAUCUGCAAGGAUUGGAGCAACCUGGCCGGGAAGAGCUACAUCAUCCUGAACAUGACAGAGAACAUAGACUGUGUGAGUGCUGAGCUGGCCCAUGCGGAAGGAAGGGCCACACGGGCAGAGGGAGGUGCUGCAGUGGGGGCCCUGCCCAAGAGGCCAGCCCAGUCCAGGGCUGAAGCAGCACCUACCACUUAGGGAAAGCCAAAAAGAGCUCUUUCCUACUUAAAACUCUAGGACUCUUCCCCCCCUUUGCUUUCUGUAAUUUGUAUUUUUUUUUCUUUUUAUCCCAGGCUGACCUCAAACAUAGUAUGUAGCCAAGGAUGAUUUUGAACUCCUGAACCUCCUGCUUGGUUUUAUUCAGUGUCGAGCAUCAGACUCGGGGGCUCAUGCAUGCUAGGGCAGCACUUUACCAACCGAGCUGCACCCCCGGCUCCCUCUUAUUCUCACUUAAAGGAUCUUUUGUUCCAGUGAGCGACAUGCUUCUGAUGAUGAUACUGAGACCUGUUCUGUUGUCUUUAGCAUUUUGUUGAGAAAGGAUCUUGCUAUAUUGGCCAGGAUGGCUUGGAAUUUCUGGGUUCAAUCAAAACUCCUGUACCCACCUUCCAAGUACUGGGACUACCGUCAAGCACCAUUGUUACCCAACAGUAACUUUUUAUGUUGUUUUUAUGCUGGGGUGUAGUGACAUGUGCCUGCAACCCCAACAUGGUGGCAGCUGAGACGGGAAUCAGGGUUCAGAGCCAAGUUGGGCCACACAGAUGCUAUCCCACAAAGGAUGUCCCCCAUCCUAGCUGCUUUAUCAUCUUGCCUUAGGCUUUUUAGAAGCAACAUCUGUUAGUGUUUGUUCAUAGCUCUCUAAAGAGACAUCAAAAGGCUAAUGGGAAAGCUGUGUGUGUCUGAGAGACAAAGACAGAGACAGAGAUACUCAGAGCCUUAUAUAGGUCAUGUGCUAGGCCAUCAAUCACAAGAAGGCCACAUCUGAGCCUCCUCCAUGUGACUGAGAUGGUGUCCUCGUCUUAUUCUGUGGCUGUGAUAAAACAUUGGCAGAAAGCAACUUGAAGAACAGCAGCCAUUUGGCUUACACUUCCAGGUCAUGGUCAGUCACUGGGGGAAGUCAGGGCAUGAUGAAAAGCAGAACCCAUAUGAAUGAGUACUGCCUAGUGACCUGCCCUCAGGGUCACAGUUAGCCUUUUCAUACAGUCCAGGAACAUCUGCCCAGGGAAAGGUGCAGGCCACAGCGGCUGGGCCCUCCUGCAUCAAUUAAUAAGAUAAUCCCUCACAGGCAUGUCUAGGAAACAACCUGUUCAGGAAAUUCCUCAGCGGAGUCUCCUCCUCUCAGAUGCCCUAGGUUAUAUCAAGCCGACAGUUAAAGCUAGCCUAUGACUGUGGCUCUGGACAUUAGGUCCUUCCUCCUGAGGUGACUGGACUGUUCGAGAAGUAUGAAGAGUUGUCCGUGUUCUGGAAGCCAAGGCAGGGGAGAGGUUGGGUGUCUAUAAUUAAUGUGCUUGCAUGAACACUGGUACUCAUUAAGACAUCUUCAUGAUCAUAGGCACUCAGUUUUACUCUUGAAAACGUGAACUUCCAGGGCUAGGGUGUGGCUCUGUGGUGCUGCUCAGCACAGUUUUGGGUUCAUCCCCAGCAUGUCGGGGUAGAAGGUAAAUCAGAGGAGAGAUGUUCCAUCUUCUCCAGGCAGGGAGUGAGUUUGCUGUUGGUGUAUCCUUUCCCGAGCGCUGUAUGUAGACUUGUCUCCCAUCCAGCGGUCCAUGGUUUCCUUUCUGACUUAUGUUUGAAGAGAAUGGAACACUGUGCAUUGAAGGUGAUGGGCCACGCAGAGCCCUCAUCGUC
rnacentral:lncRNA from 1 species